GAGAAAUAUGUCACUAUAAAUCCAUUUUGCAAAAAUUUCUUCAUACCAGAUUCCAGUAGUGAAAACUAUGAUUACCCUGUAUACACUACACUGUACAUUGUAGUAUUAUGGAAUUAACAUUGUUCAUGGACAUUUAGGUCUUCUAGUGUGAAAAUUUAGUUUAUAGUACAUGUACUUAAUGAACAAUAAAUAGAAUAUCAUUAGAGAUU
rnacentral:sRNA from 1 species